rnacentral:rRNA from 2 species
UCGGAAGCUAAGCAGGGUCGUGCCUGGUUAGUACUUGGGUAGGAGACUGCCUGGGAAUACCAGGUGCUGUAAGCUU